rnacentral:lncRNA from 1 species
UCUGCCAACUCAUCACGGGUAUCCAGCCCCUCAACUGGAUAUGACUCGAUAGAGCGACCUCCUUGAAGAGUGAUGUUGUAGCAAUAUUGCGCCAGGUCCUAGUCUCCCUGGACUUCUCCAACUCCACUAGCUGUCAGAAACUUCAUCUUCAGGUGUACGUCGAUAAGACAGCUCGGAGAGCAUUCAGGCCUAACCGACUGAGUAUGGCGUUGUAGGCCGAAGGUGCUCGAUCAACUAGAAAGUCUACUUGUGCAGUGGACUAAGC